GGGAGACGUCGUACUGCAGUCGAGCGAAUGGAUUAAGAGCUUGCUCUUAUGAAGUUAGCGGCGGACGGGUGAGUAACACGUGGGUAACCUGCCCAUAAGACUGGGAUAACUCCGGGAAACCGGGGCUAAUACCGGAUAACAUUUUGAACCGCAUGGUUCGAAAUUGAAAGGCGGCUUCGGCUGUCACUUAUGGAUGGACCCGCGUCGCAUUAGCUAGUUGGUGAGGUAACGGCUCACCAAGGCAACGAUGCGUAGCCGACCUGAGAGGGUGAUCGGCCACACUGGGACUGAGACACGGCCCAGACUCCUACGGGAGGCAGCAGUAGGGAAUCUUCCGCAAUGGACGAAAGUCUGACGGAGCAACGCCGCGUGAGUGAUGAAGGCUUUCGGGUCGUAAAACUCUGUUGUUAGGGAAGAACAASUGCUAGUUGAAUAAGCUGGCACCUUGACGGUACCUAACCAGAAAGCCACGGCUAACUACGUGYCAGCAGCCGCGGUAAUACGUAGGUGGCAAGCGUUAUCCGGAAUUAUUGGSCGUAAAGCGCGCGCAGGUGGUUUCUUAAGUCUGAUGUGAAAGCCCACGGCUCAACCGUGGAGGGUCAUUGGAAACUGGGAGACUUGAGUGCAGAAGAGGAAAGUGCAAUUCCAUGUGUAGCGGUGAAAUGCGUAGAGAUAUGGAGGAACACCAGUGACGAAGGCGACUUUCUGGUCUGUAACUGACACUGAGGCGCGAAAGCGUGGGGAGCAAACAGGAUUAGAUACGCUGCUACUCAACGCCGUACACGAUGAGUGCUAAGAGUGAGAUGCUUUCUGCCCUUUAGUGCUGAAGUCACCCCAUUACGCACUCCG
rnacentral:rRNA from 2 species